GAUGAACGCUGGCGGCGUGCCUAAUACAUGCAAGUCGAGCGAACAGACGAGGAGCUUGCUUCUCUGACGUUAGCGGCGGACGGGUGAGUAACACGUGGAUAACCUACCUAUAAGACUGGGAUAACUUCGGGAAACCGGAGCUAAUACCGGAUAAUAUAUUGAACCGCAUGGUUCAAUAGUGAAAGACGGUUUUGCUGUCACUUAUAGAUGGAUCCGCGCCGCAUUAGCUAGUUGGUAAGGUAACGGCUUACCAAGGCAACGAUGCGUAGCCGACCUGAGAGGGUGAUCGGCCACACUGGAACUGAGACACGGUCCAGACUCCUACGGGAGGCAGCAGUAGGGAAUCUUCCGCAAUGGGCGAUAGCCUGACGGAGCAACGCCGCGUGAGUGAUGAAGGUCUUCGGAUCGUAAAACUCUGUUAUUAGGGAAGAACAAAUGUGUAAGUAACUAUGCACGUCUUGACGGUACCUAAUCAGAAAGCCACGGCUAACUACGUG
rnacentral:rRNA from 1 species